ACAUUUGCAAUGGAGCUCUUUAGUCGAGUUUAUGGGACAAGGAUGUAACAAAAAGACCGUUGGAAAGUCGUAAAGUAGACGAUAUAAUAAUAGUACCCGCCCCUCGGACUAGUGCUAAAUCACCACUGGCUGUUUGGACAUAGUUUUUUUUGAUUGGGCAAUGGUUAAAAAAUCAGAGGCGUCGAAGGACAUGUUAUCGGUUGCCCCACAAUCGAAAAUCCAGUGAUUAUCUUUCUUUCCUACGACGGAGGUCGAGGAAUUGGCUAAAGCUUCAAAAGAGUUUUUACAUUCGAUUGUGGGUUCAACGACUAUGCUUUCAUACUUGGGGUCAUUAGGAAUGGGGAUAUUGGAUUUUGAGGGACUAAAAUAGACAUGGGUCGAUUUUGAGGGCCCUGUUUGGUAUAUGUAGUGUGACUAGGGGUCUGUCUAGUUGGGCAUUUGGGUAAGAUUUGGGGUCUAUUUCGAAAUUGGGAUAAGCUGGAGGGUGAAUGGUGUGAUCUUCGAUAUUUGGGGUUGGUUUGGGAUUUAUCAAAAACCAGGGGAGGGAAAAGAUCUCUCCCCCCAAACCCUAGCGUUUUUGGCCGCCUCGCUUUCCACCCAAACCCUAGCUUUCUUUGCCGCCUCUCCUAUCGUCGUCGUCGGCUUACCAUCAUUCCAAACUCGUGCUACUGAGACUGAGGCCACGGCUCUCUCCUCCUCACCAUGAUUUCUGGCAGGGGGCUAAGAGCUGCUUGAGACGCUGCUGCCCGUUGAUUUUUCGGCAAAGGUGGUGAGGUCGCCCACCGCUACUGCCACCGCUGCUCUUCCUCCACCGCCACGAUUCCGAUUUUGUCUUCCCUUCUUCAUUUUUUCCCACCAAUCGGGAUACCCGUGAAUGUGGAAGCACGUUUCCUUGGUGUGUUUUCUCCCUCCACAGUGAAUGCAAGAGAGACGACUUUUAUCUUCCUCCCCUCUCUGUUCGGUGGUCGUGUUUCUGAAUGGGAUGUGUGGUCUAGGGUUGUUCCGGUUGAUGGCCGCGAGACCAGUUCCGAUGCACCUCAUCUAGGGCAUAGAGAUAUUGAUAUGUUCUGUGUCUCUGGGUUCGCUUGUACUUCUCGAUUGAUUUUGGAUGAGUUAUGUCGUUCGGAUCUCUGGAGUCUUUGGAGAUCCAUAGGUCUUGAAAUUUUUGCCUGAGUGCUUCGAGCGUCAUGCUCCCUUGCUUCAUUCUGCUGGCUUGUCGGUGCAGAUCGAACACCUGGAGCGGGUCUCCUCCACUAGCGUAUGUAAUGGCUAGGCCUUCCCAUAGGGCCUUGGUUGUCUCGUAUUGUGAGACUUCAUUCACGAGUUCUAUCUCGAUGUUAUUGAUUAUCCAAUUGAAACAACAGUGAUCUCUUUGUUGUCAUUUGUAAUAAUCGGGAUCGGUUGUGGACAAGGGGUCCGAACCUCCAGAAAUGUGAGACGUCAGACCCUUCCCUCCUAUGGCUCGGUUCAUGAGUUUCACUUUCGCCCAAAGGGGAUUAUGUUCCCCUUUAGGUUUGGCUUUGAGGUGGAUUUCAUCAAGGGAUUCAAGUUGAUUUUGGGUAGUUUUUGAGGUAUUAGGUUUGGCUGAUGAAUUGAUUUGUUUCACGAAAUCAGCAAAUUGAGUUGCCAUUUUGAUGGGGAUACUGAUGGAGGUUUGAGUAGUAUUUGUGGUGGUUUCCGAGUCAGAUUCUGACAUUGCAAAAAGGGCCGAGAAAGGUUCCGUCCCAACCAUCCAUGAGUUCGUUAUGGAGUGGAGAAACUCAACUGGGACAGCUGAAACAGAUGAUCAUUGACCCAUGAUGCACCAACUUCUAUUAGGAUCAUAAUAAAAUAUAAUAUGGAAUCAUGUUACAGUACAAGUUUGUUGAUGUUACUUUACCUGCUUUGGGUUGGGGAACUGGUGCAUAGUGUUGAGAUGGAGGGCCUUGUGGUUUGUGGUAAGGACUGGAAGAGAGAGUGUGCAGUCUUGUGAAAACUCCAACAAGAGGGGCAGUUCCAGACAAUGUAGGCUCAGUCUGUUUGUAAACAGAUCUAUCAUCUGUGAACUCAUCAUUGGCAUUAGGGCCUCCCACAAGGGCUCCAUGGAUGACAUUAGGGUUGGUCUCGUUGCGCUUGUACCAAGUCUUGAACCCCUCCACACAUCCAACAGAUGCGUGAAGGAGAGAGACAGGAGCAAUGGAGGCGCUCCUAUGGUGGACAUGGACUGGAUAGCUCUGUCCAUAGCCCACCAAGUAGCUCAAGGACUUGGGGUUCUUGCCAAGAAUGUAGUCAGCCUGCAUUUGCAAUUUUAGGGUUAAGACAAGACAACCACCAAUGUUAGAAAACAGGGAAGUGGGAAAAACAGUAGUACUUGUGAUUUGGCGAAGUUGAGGAUUUGUUGAGGCUGGAUUAGGCCAUCUGGGCAUUGCACGGACUUCUUGGCUUUGGUGAGGUAGUCAGAGUAGACGGUGAGGAGGAAAGAAGCCGAGGAAGAGUACUGCAAGUUGUUCCACUCACGUACAUAGAUAAGGCCACCUAAUUAGCAACAAUAACCAAUCAGUCAAAAAAUGCAGCAAUCUUGGAAAUGGAUUACAUAUAUAGAAGAAUGUGGGCUAACCAGGAGUCAACUUCACGUUGUAUCCAUCGUUCUUUUGCAUGCACGCACAGGUGAAGUAGUCGGCUUUCGCCUGAUACUUCUGCAGCGUGGAGGCAUAGCUUCCAGCACGACCUUCCAGAAGCAUCUGAGGUGGAUAUCAUAAUAGUUGAAUAAGUACAUUGUUUGUGUUCAUGUGUUUGAUGAUCUUGGUUUACCUUUGUGAGAAGGAUUUGAACUCCAGCGUACUUGUUGUCCCACGAGAAUUCUUUGACAGCCCAGCCGGUUCCUCCAAAGGCGGCGCAGUUGUCAACAACAUAUUUCAAAAUCAUAAGGCUUGAAAGCCAGAGAGGUGGCAGCCAAGGCGGCCGCAGUUUCUCCUGCUAGGUCGGACCCAGGAUGCUCAGCGUCCAGCUUGUAUGCGGUCCGGGACGUCGUCAUGUCCUCCGCCCGUUGCCAGCAAUAGUGAUCCGACACUCCAUCUCCAACCUAAUUAAUCACAUUAGUUUCACCAUGGUCACAAUUAAUUAACAUUUUAGUAUGUGUGUUAACAUUAGUUUCACCAUUGUUGACCUAGUAUGUGUGUUUAUUGCAUGGCAUAUAUACCUGUCCCCAUAGCACAUUUUGUUGAGGGUGGCAUCUGAUGAAAUAAUCAGUUCCCCAUUUGAUAGCCUCCAAAACAUGUCCCAUUUGAUUUAAUUUAAUGAAAUCUUCCUUAAAAUCAAUAGCUGCCCAUGACAACAUUGUCACACUAAACGCCAUUGGUAGACCAAAUUUUACGUGGUCUCCUGCAUCAUAGUAUCCUCCCAGCAAAUUCACCUAAAAUUAAAAAUAUAAGUUAGGUGCACAUUGAUUCAUAUGAAAUAAUAUAUAAACCUAUGAAAUUAAUUAAUGCAGGUGAAUAUUAGUUAUUACCCCUUGCGAAUAACCAUCGCCAAGGCCGGAAUUACCGCGCCAUUUUACGCGUUGGGUUGGAGGUAAUUUACCGGAUCGUUGCGCCUCCAAGAAGAGCAAGGUUUUAUCGAGGGCGGCGCUGUAGUCGAUGGACUCGACUGCAGUGGCGCCCGUGGCAACGAGGCCGAGUAAGAGGACUAAAAUGGCGUGUGUGGUUGCUGCCAUUUCUUGGUUUUGGGUUUAGAAGAUGUGAUCAUAUUUUUGUAUGUCACGUUUAUUUGUAUAAUUUUGGAGGAGGGUAGGUAGGGUGACUAUGUAUAGAUGUUUUAUGAGGAAUAUGAAUGAGUGGGAGGAGAGCAUAGGAUAGUGGCCUCCACAUUCUUGUAUAUUAAUGCAAUUAAAGAUUUAGCUUUCCACGUUGGGUUUUUAAAUGAUAUUAAAUAUUAAUUCAAUGAAAUUUUAUGUUG